rnacentral:rRNA from 1 species
AGUGAACGCUGGCGGUAGGCCUAACACAUGCAAGUCGAACGGCAGCACAGUAAGAGCUUGCUCUUACGGGUGGCGAGUGGCGGACGGGUGAGGAAUACAUCGGAAUCUACUUUUUCGUGGGGGAUAACGUAGGGAAACUUACGCUAAUACCGCAUACGACCUACGGGUGAAAGCAGGGGAUCUUCGGACCUUGCGCGAUUGAAUGAGCCGAUGUCGGAUUAGCUAGUUGGCGGGGUAAAGGCCCACCAAGGCGACGAUCCGUAGCUGGUCUGAGAGGAUGAUCAGCCACACGGGAACUGAGACACGGUCCAGACUACUGAGGGAGGCAGCAGUGGGGAAUAUUGGACAAUGGGCGCAAGCCUGAUCCAGCCAGACCGCGUGGGUGAAGAAGGCCUUCGGGUUGUAAAGCCCUUUUGUUGGGAAAGAAAAGCAGCAGGUUAAUACCCCGCUGUUCUGACGGUACCCAAAGAAUAAGCACCGGCUAACUUCGUG